rnacentral:rRNA from 1 species
UACGUAGGGUCCGAGCGUUGUCCGGAAUUAUUGGGCGUAAAGGGCGCGUAGGCGGUCAGCACAAGUCAGUUGUGAAAUCUCCGGGCUUAACUCGGAAAGGUCAACUGAUACUGUGCGACUAGAGUGCGGAAGGGGCAACUGGAAUUCUCGGUGUAGCGGUGAAAUGCGUAGAUAUCGAGAGGAACACCUGCGGCGAAGGCGGGUUGCUGGGCCGACACUGACGCUGAUGCGCGAAAGCCAGGGGAGCGAACGGG